ACAUUAAUGAGCAUUUACAAAAUUAACAUUAAUGAGAAGAGAGAAAAAUAGAGAUUGUUCAAGUUUCCAGAUUCUGAAGAGAGAAAUAGAGAGGCAUUGUUGAAAGGAGAGUUCACUGAUUUAGGGUUUUUCAUAUUCACCAACGGCGGACGGCGGGGUUGUCGGCUAGGCCGUUCUUCAUCGUCGGCGGCAGUGAUUUGGUUCGUUGAGGGUGGCGUCUUCAUCGUCAACGUGGUAAUGGAAAGUAUAAGGGAGGAAGAAGACCAGAUCCAUUUUGCUGAUGUGUUGGUUUUGUUUUUGGAAAGUUUUGCUGAUCUGUUACAUUAUUCGUUUGAUCUAUAUUGAUUUUUCUCAGGUACAAUUGAACUUACUUAACUCUUAACUUGGAUGUAAAUGUAACAGGAUUUGAGUGAUCAUCAUGUUGGUUAAGAUGAUAUAUUGACAUAGUUAGAAAGGCACUUGUUGUGUGUGUCUAACUCCAAGGACUGGUUCAGGGAACCACUGGCAUGUAUGUCCAAUAUAGUGUAAGAAAAUUGUGGGGAAGGGAAUUUCUACUGAGCAAUAUAUAUGGAAGCAUGAAAUUGGUGAGGAUAUUGGCAUAACUCUGGUCUGCUGUCAAAAGGAAUGAUGAAGGGCUCUCUAUUGGUUGUUGCACAUUGUAAUUUUGUGAAAAGAGAGCUCAUGUUUGAUUUGUCAUAGCCAGUAUUAAGUGCUAAAUUAUACAGGGAAGUAUCAUCUGUGAAGGCCAACAUAACUGGCCAAGCUCAAAGAAAUAGCAGAAUUGUUCAUUUAGCUUCAAUUGCUAGGUUCUUAAAACAACCGAGAGCAGUACUUUGGAAGGAAACAAGAGGUCUUAGUCAUCUUCUCAUGAACAAAAUCAACAUCAAUCGAAACUUUAGAAGGCUCUUUGUGGAGGUCCCAGAAUUAUUUGGUUUCUGAGGUACCCAACUGAGGUUUUAACAACACAACAGAUCUUUUGAUUCUUUUGUAAGUUUUCUUGGCAGCAUCUGUGGUACUUUAAUGUGCUCUGUUUUGUGGCUGCUUUUUUUUCAUGUACUUGGGUCUAGCACCCCUUGUGCUAGUAUUAAUACAUUUUGGCUUACCAAAAAAAAUAUGGUACCCUUUUUGUCCUUUCAU